GAUGAUGAUUAUGAUGGUGAUAAUAGUGUCAUUGAAGAUGAGAAUGUCGGAGAAGCAAAUUCAGCUAAGAAGGAAGGAGUGCCAUCUGCGUAUAGUACUGAAGCAAGAGUGUCUGUCACUGGGAGUGGUGAACCUGACAACUUGAAUCUUUUCAGUGGAGGUGUUUGGUAUUCAAAGAAGCUCUUAUGCAGAAUCAAUAGUAUCUGAAAUAAAUUUUAGCCCAAGAAACGUUAAAAGGUGAUUCAAGUCUCGCAUUGCCAUUGUUUGGAUUUAUAUAUUCGGUGGACAUUAGGGAUCGAAUACUGCUAAUGACAUUA
rnacentral:misc_RNA from 1 species